rnacentral:rRNA from 1 species
UGCGUAGGCGGAUCAGUAAGUCAGUGGUGAAAUCUUUCGGCUCAACCGGGAAACUGCCAUUGAUACUGUUGAUCUUGAGUUCAGCAGAGGUAGGCGGAAUGUGUAAUGUAGCGGUGAAAUGCUUAGAUAUUACACAGAACACCAAUUGCGUAGGCAGCUUACUAUACCGACACUGACGCUGAGGCACGAAAGCGUGGGGAGCGAACAGGAUUAGAUACCCUGGUAGUCC